rnacentral:rRNA from 1 species
AUAUGUGGCCAAACUUUCAUGUCAAAACUUGAUCUUGAUCUCUGAAGCUAAGCAGGACUGGGCCUGGUUAGUAUUUGGAUGGGAGACCACUGUGUAUAUGAGAUGCCACAGUG